AUUGAACGCUGGCGGCAUGCUUUACACAUGCAAGUCGAGCGGCAGCGCGGGACUCAGGCAACUGAGCCCUGGCGGCGAGCGGCGAACGGGUGAGGAAUACAUCGGAACGUACCCCGGAGUGGGGGAUAACGCCGCGAAAGCGGCGCUAAUACCGCAUAUGCUCUGUGGAGGAAAGUGGGGGACUCGUCAGGCAACUGAGGGGCCUCACGCUCUGGGCGCGGCCGAUGUCCGAUUAGCUAGUUGGUGGGGUAAUGGCUCACCAAGGCGACGAUCGGUAGCUGGUCUGAGAGGAUGAUCAGCCACACUGGGACUGAGACACGGCCCAGACUCCUACGGGA
rnacentral:rRNA from 1 species